UCCAGAGAAUUUAGCAGAGAUGCUUUAGUGCCUUCGGGAACUCUGAGACAGGUGCUGCAUGGCUGUCGUCAGCUCGUGUUGUGAAAUGUUGGGUUAAGUCCCGNAACGAGCGCAACCCUUAUCCUUUGUUGCCAGCACGUAAUGGUGGGAACUCAAAGGAGACUGCCGGUGAUAAACCGGAGGAAGGUGGGGAUGACGUCAAGUCAUCAUGGCCCUUACGAGUAGGGCUACACACGUGCUACAAUGGCGCAUACAAAGAGAAGCAACCUCGCGAGAGCAAGCGGACCUCAUAAAGUGCGUCGUAGUCCGGAUUGGAGUCUGCAACUCGACUCCAUGAAGUCGGAAUCGCUAGUAAUCGUAAAUCAGAAUGUUACGGUGAAUACGUUCCCGGGCCUUGUACACACCGCCCGUCACACCAUGGGAGUGGGUUGCAAAAGAAGUAGAUAGCUUAACCUUCGGGAGGGCGUUUACCACUUUGUGAUUCAUGACUGGGGUGAAGUCGUAACAAGGUAAGCGUAGCGAG
rnacentral:rRNA from 1 species